CCGAGGGGCGCGUCUGGUAAGCGCUGAGAUGGAGCUGAGGUCAGCGAGGAAAAGUGGGAACCGGUUUUCCGCCCGCGCUGACCGUUCGAAAGAACACCGCUCCAGCACCCUUUGAACCUGAUCCGGUUUGCGCCGGCGUAGGGACGGAAUGAAA
rnacentral:ncRNA from 1 species